rnacentral:rRNA from 1 species
UACGUAGGUGGCGAGCGUUAUCCGGAAUUACUGGGUGUAAAGGGAGCGCAGGCGGGGCGACAAGUCAGCUGUGAAAACUAUGGGCUUAACUCAUAGACUGCAGUUGAAACUGUUGCUCUUGAGUGGAGUAGAGGCAAGCGGAAUUCCGAGUGUAGCGGUGAAAUGCGUAGAUAUUAGGAGGAACACCAGUUGCGAAGGCGGCUCUCUGGACUGUAACUGACACUGAGGCACGAAAGCGUGGGGAGCAAACAGGAUUAGA